rnacentral:misc_RNA from 1 species
AUUAAUGAUUUUAAUACUAAAAAGAACAAUGCAAUUAAGUUCUUGAAUAAAGGUAACAAAGUUAAAGUAUCAAUUCGUUUCCGCGGACGUGCUAUCACCCACAAGGAAAUUGGGCGUGAAGUAAUGAAUCGUAUGGCAACGGAGCUUGAGGAAAUUGCUAAAGUUGAAUCAAGAGCUAAGAUGGAAGGGCGCAGCAUGUUUAUGGUGCUUGCACCCAGAGAAACUAAGUAAUUAAACCAGUUUGGAGGACAUAUCAAUGCCUAAGUAUAAGACACACCGCGCUUCAGCAAAGCGUUUCAAGAAAACUGCAAAUGGUGGGUUGAAGUCAGCUAA